UACAGAGGCCUCGAGCGUUAGGCGGAAUCACUGGGCUUAAAGCGUGUGUAGGCGGACUUCUAAGUACCUUGUGAAAUCCCACGGCUCACCCGUGGAACUGCUUGGUAUACUGGUUGUCUUGAGCCUUCUAGGGGCGAGUGGAACAAAUGGUGGAGCGGUGAAAUGCGCAGAUAUCAGGAGGAACACCGGUGGCGAAGGCGGGUCUCUGGGCCAAUACUGACGCUGAGGAGCGAAAGCGUGGGGAGCGAACAGG
rnacentral:rRNA from 1 species